GAUGAACGCUAGCGGCAGGCCUAACACAUGCAAGUCGAGGGGUAGAGGAAGCUUGCUUCCUUGAGACCGGCGCACGGGUGCGUAACGCGUAUGCAAUCUACCUUGUACAGAGGGAUAGCCCAGAGAAAUUUGGAUUAAUACCUCAUAGUAUUAUUGAAUGGCAUCAUUUAAUAAUUAAAGUUCCAACGGUACAAGAUGAGCAUGCGUACUAUUAGCUAGUUGGUGUGGUAACGGCAUACCAAGGCUACGAUAGGUAGGUGUCCUGAGAGGGAGAGCCCCCACCCUGGUACUGGGACACGGACCAGACUCCUACGGGAGGCAGCAGUGAGGAAUAUUGGACAAUGGGCGCAAGCCUGAUCUAGCCAUGCCGCGUGCAGGAAGACGCAUCUAUGGUGUGUAAACUGCUUUUGUACGGAACGAAACGGUCCGGGUUAAUACCCUGGGCUAAUGACGGUACCGUAAGAAUAAGCACCGGCUAACUACGUGCCAGCAGCCGCGGUAAGAC
rnacentral:rRNA from 1 species